AAAAAUGGCUGCCGUAUCAUCAGUUGGCCACUCUCUCCCUAUGCAGGAUCUCUACAGUUGAUUGUCGUGUACUGCUACACAUUGUGUUCGGGGCCGGUGAAAAAUGUCAGUGUUUGAAUAGUGUCAUAUGUCUGAUCUCAGUGUGUAUCACAGUUAAAGAACUACUGACUUUAAAUGUCUCAUUGCUCAUUUCCUGGACCUGUUUUUGGCUCAUUAAGCAUAAAACUUCGAUAUGCAGACCGAUAAGUUAUAUGAAUGCUGUAAUGAUAUCGUUUUUGAUUGUAGCCAUCACAAGUUGGUUAGUGUAUACCACAGACUGUGCAACAAAAUAGAACAUAUAGUAACACAUUUUCAUGUUGUAGUACAUUUAUACAAAGAACUUUAACUGUGAAUGUGCAGCAUGCUGAUUGCCGCAUGACUGAACGUUUAUAUAGACAAUUGUGCAUGGCACUUAUUGUUGAGUUCAAACCAUGGAAUAAUGAUUUAUAGUACAUCUACUUGAUUUACUUUAGUAGUGUGGAUGGAUAUACUGUGAAAAGUGCUGCGCCACAGGAGUAAACAAUAAAUCUGAAAACUGUAGCUAAAAUGGAUAGGAAUUAGUUCUACAAACUCAAAGAAUACCUGUUACAUUUACAACUGGCACUCAUGACCAAGGAGGUCAGCAACAUGACACCAGUUUCUGUAUUACAUGCUCAAGAAUCAUGGGCUAACGAUGUAGAUGUUGACAACUCACUGGUAGCAUCACUAUGAGAAGUCGUGUGACUAGGGCCUCACAUUCAGUGGACCGAUCGCCACAUGCAAGUCUUUCGAUUUGGUGCCACUUUGGUGACUUGUACGUUAAUGGGGAUGAAAUAAUGAUUAGGACAACACAACACCCAAUCCCUGAGCAGAGAAAAUCUCCGACCCAGCCGGGAAUCUAACCUGGGCCCUUAGGAUUGACAUUCUGCCACAAUGACCACUCAGCUACCAGGGACGGACAGCGUGAGAAGUUAUAAGGCAUUCAGACCAGUGCCUGAUGAACCAGGAGAGUAGGAAGGUGUAAGAGAGGACGUAAGAAAAAAUGGAAUUCAUAAUUGAGGAGUUUGGCACUAAACGGGGAAGAAUGGAACGAUCUUCUACAGAAGGCUAAGGCACAGAAGGCUAAGGCACAGAAGGCUGUAGCACCAAUGGUGGUGAUGAUUCAAUUUAGUGGCUGUACUUUCAUGUGUGACUAAUAGGUAUGUAUUUAAAAUACAUGGUUUCUUUGUGGCAUGAUGCUGCAUGCCACUGUACUUUAUAUCCUAUCCUUUAAGUAAUACAAUACAUGAAAUAUUAUAUACAGUUGGGAAAAUUGUGUAAUACAGUAACUUUUGUAACACCAUGAUAUUCAAUGCACCCUCAUGAGCAAGUAGUAUUUUAAUGGAUUUUCUAGUUUGGGGAUAUGUGUGUUUUGUACCAGUGUUAAUAAAAUUUGAAUGGUCCCCAUUUCCUCUAACCUUAAGCUUACCUUAGGCCCUACGCUACCAAAUCUUUUGUAUCAAGAAACCUGCAUGCAUAUUAAAGGUAGUACUUGGAAGUGAUGUUAAUACACUGAAGCUAAUUCUCACAUGUUUUGACCAGUAUGAUGUUCAUUGCUGACAUAUGCAGCAGGCAAGAAUCUAGUUUCAAGAGAUUUUAAUCCCUUCUGUUGCAUACUGAUAAAGUCAGUUAAGAGAGCUAUGUUUAUCUGCUUGUUUUUUUUUAAUGUAUUCUUGUAAUGAGAUGGUGUAUUUUAUACUUUAGACAGAUGGUGUAUACAAUGAAUGAUAACACGAACCAUAGAGUUUCACACCAUUUUUAUUCAUUUUAUUACUGUUAACUACUGCAGUAUUUUUGGCAUGUGAGUAAUUUGUGUUUAACUUUUAACCAUGAAUUUUCAUGGAUAUAUAGUGAAAUAUGUACAUAUUUUUCUAAGUGGUAUCUCUAACCUUUCUGCAUAUAUUAAUUGCAUCUGUAACAACUUGAAAAGGAUCCAGGGUCAAAAUUGCAAUUGGGAGAAUUAUAAUAAAAAAUGUUGUCAAAGAUAAAUAUGUUGUCAUUACAAAAAAAAAAAAAAAAAAAAAAAAAAAAAAA